CCAAUGUAUGCUUUGGAAACUGUUAGACUNGAGUGCAGAAGGGGAGAGUGGAAUUCCAUGNGAAGCGGUGAAAUGCGUAGAUAUGUGGAGGAACACCGGUGGCGAAAGCGGCUCCCUGGUCUGUCACUGACGCUGAGGCUCGAAAGCGUGGGUAGCGAACAGGAUUAGAUACCCUGGUAGUNCACGCCGUAAACGCUGAGUGCUAGGUAUUAGGUCCUUUCCGGGACUUAGUGCCGACGCUAACGCAUUAAGCACUCCGCCUGGGGAGUACGACCGCAAGGUUGAAACUCAAAGGAAUUGACGGGGGCCCGCACAAGCGGUGGAGCAUGUGGUUUAAUUCGAAGCAACGCGAAGAACCUUAUCAGGUCUUGACAUCCCGAUGCCCGCUCUAGAGAUAGAGUUUUUCUUCGGAACAUCGGAGACAGGUGGUGCAUGGUUGUCGUCAGCUCGUGUCGUGAGAUGUUGGGUUAAGUCCCGCAACGAGCGCAACCCUUAUUGUUAGUUGCCAUCAUUAAGUUGGGCACUCUAGCGAGACUGCCGGUAAUAAACCGGAGGAAGGUGGGGAUGACGUCAAAUCAUCAUGCCCCUUAUGACCUGGGCUACACACGUGCUACAAUGGUUGGUACAACGAGUCGCAAGCCGGUGACGGCAAGCUAAUCUCUGAAAGCCAAUCUCAGUUCGGAUUGUAGGCUGCAACUCGCCUACAUGAAGUCGGAAUCGCUAGUAAUCGCGGAUCAGCACGCCGCGGUGAAUACGUUCCCGGGCCUUGUACACACCGCCCGUCACACCACGAGAGUUUGUAACACCCAAAGUCGGUGAGGUAACCAUUUAUGGGG
rnacentral:rRNA from 1 species